CGCCAUUUUUUAAUUUUAGGUUAUGUCCAACAAUAACAAUUACUCUAACCUGUGCAAUCACUAGUCUGUAAGUAAACUAUACCUGAAAAUAACUAAUAAAAAAAUGGAAGAAGCAACAGAUGCCGCGUCAGUGACAACUAACAAGAAGAGCCUUAUAAUAUUCGGCAGAGAUGUUACGAAGAUCCCAUGCUUUCGGAAUAGCUGGUUGUACGGAAUCUGCAGCGGGUUCGGGUGUGGAAUUCUGACGUUUAUGUUCACCAGCAGAACACCACUGGCUUCUCACGUCUUCAUAGGCUCGACUUUUGGAGUUACCCUGGUAUAUUUCUCGGUCUGUCGGUAUCGAUUUGCUAAGGAUGACAUGAUGGCUAAGCAGCUCAGAGUUUAUAUGAAAGACUCCAUGGGUCUCGAGGGUGCAGACCGGGAAGCUAAACUUAAACAAAUAGAAGAACUCGCCAAGACUCAGACUAAGUAGAAGUAAUUUAUAAUUUAAUUACGGGUUUGUAAAAAAAUAUAUGUACAUAGGACUGUUUUGUAAAAUAUAUGCUCAGUUUGACAGAUCCCACUCACAAUCACAAUAAAAUAAAAUGCCUGUACAGGCACGAGCGUGGUUACGUGGACAACGUAAACGGACAAGUCUAAAUUUAGAAGAGCUCCUUUUAUUGCGGCCAACCUUGAACAGGGACUUCAAGUUUAACGUUUCCACACUCGACAUACCAACUGGUCUCCGGAGUCUGAAUCAGAAAAGCCAUAAACAUCUGUACUAAUAUAACCGAAAAUAACUCAUCCAUCGUAUCCAGAACUGUCUGGUGAUAUGAAGCGUCAUCUCAUCAAAUGAAGAGAAAAAGAGAUGCUCCAUUCACUCAGCACAUCCCAAAAAGAUUGCCUACAUUAUCUUAUAAUUUCUCAAUAUCAAGACAUCACAUAUCACAUAAUAACACGAAAUCUCUCAAUCUUGCAUUACUCUAAUCGCCUUGAGCAAACAAAUAUCAAAUAAAUUGAAUUUAUGGAAAAAUC